CCUGGAGCCCCACUUUUCAAAAGCAGCCCUUGUGGAGAGCAUUGUGUCUCCCAGGAGCUGAUUGAAAAUCUUCCCGUGGUGUCCAAGCCAAGCUCCAUCAUGUCCAGCUUCAUGGCCGUGGUUUACAGUAUCAGAAAACUGAAGCCGUCGCUUGACCUGGAGCUGGAAUCACGUCUCCUAUGGGCUGUUCUCCACAGAAUCUUUACCGUGGGCACUGGGAACGACACC